UGCGCCAAAGCCCUCGCCUCCUGCAGCUCCCUUGUCCUGCCCGGUAAUGAGCGCUCGCCUCCGCCUCCCUGCUCGCGCCUUGCGCCACCGAGCUAUGGGGGCGGCGGAUCUCCGGGGACGAUCGCCGCCAUCGUCACCGCCCUCGGCGGGGGCCUCGCGGCCGUCGGCAUCGUUCGCAUGUCCAGCGCCGACGCCGUCGCUGUCGUCGCCCGCAUGUUCCGGACGGCCAGGAAGGAGCCGGCUCCCUGGAGGCCCCGAAGCCACUUCGUGGAGUACGGGGUCACGCUGGACGGAGAUGGGGGCGUCAUUGAUGAGGUGCUGGUGGUGCCCAUGCUGACUCCAAGAUCCUACACCCGAGAGGAUGUGGUGGAGCUCCAGUGCCAUGGGAAUGACCUUUGCUUGCGUCGCAUGCUGAGGGCCUGCUUGGAGGUCGGUGCCAGGCUCGCCGACCCUGGU
rnacentral:rRNA from 1 species